CCUACGGGAGGCUGCAGUGGGGAAUAUUGGACAAUGGGCGAAAGCCUGAUCCAGCCAUGCCGCGUGUGUGAAGAAGGCCUUCGGGUUGUAAAGCACUUUCAGUGGGGAAGAAAGCCUUGGGGCUAAUACCCUCGAGGAAGGACAUCACCCACAGAAGAAGCACCGGCUAACUCCGUGCCAGCAGCCGCGGUAAUACGGAGGGUGCGAGCGUUAAUCGGAAUUACUGGGCGUAAAGCGCGCGUAGGCGGUCUGAUAAGCCGGUUGUGAAAGCCCCGGGCUCAACCUGGGAAUGGCAUCCGGAACUGUCAGGCUAGAGUGCAGGAGAGGAAGGUAGAAUUCCCGGUGUAGCGGUGAAAUGCGUAGAGAUCGGGAGGAAUACCAGUGGCGAAGGCGGCCUUCUGGACUGACACUGACGCUGAGGUGCGAAAGCGUGGGUAGCAAACAGGAUUAGAUACCCGAGUAGUC
rnacentral:rRNA from 1 species